rnacentral:rRNA from 1 species
UACAGAGACUGCAAGCGUUAUUCGGAUUCACUGGGCGUAAAGGGUGCGCAGGCGGUUGGGUGUGUCAGAUGUGAAAUCCCGAGGCUUAACCUCGGAACUGCGUCUGAAACUACUCGACUAGAGUACUGGAGAGGGAAACGGAAUUCACGGUGUAGCAGUGAAAUGCGUAGAUAUCGGGAGGAACACCAGUGGCGAAGGCGGAGACCUGGGCCAAUACUGACGCUGAGGUGCGAAAGCGUGGGGAGCAAACAGG